rnacentral:tRNA from 1 species
GAAGGUAAAGCUCAAGUGGUAGAGUGCAUGCUUAGCAUGCAUGAGGUCCUGGGUUCAAUCCCCAGUACUUCCU